UACGUAGGUGGCAAGCGUUGUCCGGAUUUACUGGGCGUAAAGCGCGCGCAGGCGGACUGAUCAGUCUGGGGUGAAAUCUCCCGGCUCAACUGGGAGCGGUCCCUGGAUACUGUCAGUCUUGAGAGACCUAGAGGAGAGCGGAAUUCCCGGUGUAGUGGUGGAAUGCGUAGAUAUCGGGAGGAACACCAGUGGCGAAGGCGACUACCUGGCCUGUUCUUGACGCUGAGGCGCGAAAGCUAGGGGAGCAAACGGG
rnacentral:rRNA from 1 species